CAUAGACAGUGUUCAGAUCUUGUUUUCUAACGCCAUUCUCUGCUAACAGGAACCAGGGUCCUUGGGCAAAUGUCUGAUUCUAGAUCUAAAGCAGGAAGUACACUAGAAUAUCAAGAGAAGAACAUGAGAUGAAGCCCUGUCGGGGAACAUUCUACAUCUUAAAACUGUCAGGGUCAUGCAAGACAAGGACCACCUGAGACACAAUGACAGACAGGAGGGGCUGAAGGAAACGUGAUGUUUUCACAUGUUAUCCUAGAUGCAUUCUUGGCUGAGGAAAGGCUACUUCUAGAGUUGGACUGACUGACAGGUGCAUUGGAGUGUUCCCGACCCACCUCCUUGAAGAAGUGCUCCUGUGUCCCCUGAGAGCCCCUGUGCCGGAGAAGGGGUCCUGUGCCAGCAGAGGCCAUGAGUGGCCAGGCAGCUGCCUAUACUGGAACUGCACUUCAUUUGCCCAUUUCUGAUUCCCUGUGUCUCUGAAACUGAAAAAAAUUCAUCUUUCCUGGUACCUUGU